rnacentral:rRNA from 1 species
AAAGGCGCGCGAUACAGGGUGACAGCCCCGUACACAAAAAUGCACAUACUGUGAGCUCGAAGAGUAGGGCGGGACACGUGGUAUCCUGUCUGAAUAUGGGGGGACCAUCCUCCAAGGCUAAAUACUCCUGACUGACCGAUAGUGAACCAGUACCGUGAGGGAAAGGCGAAAAGAACCCCGGCGAGGGGAGUGAAAAAGAACCUGAAACCGUGUACGUACAAGCAGUGGGAGCCUCUUUUAUGGGGUGACUGCGUACCUUUUGUAUAAUGGGUCAGCGACUUAUAUUCUGUAGCAAGGUUAACCGAAUAGGGGAGCCGAAGGGAAACCGAGUCUUAACUGGGCGUUAAGUUGCAGGGUAUAGACCCGAAACCCGGUGAUCUAGCCAUGGGCAGGUUGAAGGUUGGGUAACACUAACUGGAGGACCGAACCGACUAAUGUUGAAAAAUUAGCGGAUGACUUGUGGCUGGGGGUGAAAGGCCAAUCAAACCGGGAGAUAGCUGGUUCUCCCCGAAAGCUAUUUAGGUAGCGCCUCGUGAAUUCAUCUCCGGGGGUAGAGCACUGUUUCGGCAAGGGGGUCAUCCCGACUUACCAACCCGAUGCAAACUGCGAAUACCGGAGAAUGUUAUCACGGGAGACACACGGCGGGUGCUAACGUCCGUCGUGAAGAGGGAAACAACCCAGACCGCCAGCUAAGGUCCCAAAGUCAUGGUUAAGUGGGAAACGAUGUGGGAAGGCCCAGACAGCCAGGAUGUUGGCUUAGAAGCAGCCAUCAUUUAAAGAAAGCGUAAUAGCUCACUGGUCGAGUCGGCCUGCGCGGAAGAUGUAACGGGGCUAAACCAUGCACCGAAGCUGCGGCAGCGACACUAUGUGUUGUUGGGUAGGGGAGCGUUCUGUAAGCCUGUGAAGGUGUGCUGUGAGGCAUGCUGGAGGUAUCAGAAGUGCGAAUGCUGACAUAAGUAACGAUAAAGCGGGUGAAAAGCCCGCUCGCCGGAAGACCAAGGGUUCCUGUCCAACGUUAAUCGGGGCAGGGUGAGUCGACCCCUAAGGCGAGGCCGAAAGGCGUAGUCGAUGGGAAACAGGUUAAUAUUCCUGUACUUGGUGUUACUGCGAAGGGGGGACGGAGAAGGCUAUGUUGGCCGGGCGACGGUUGUCCCGGUUUAAGCGUGUAGGCUGGUUUUCCAGGCAAAUCCGGAAAAUCAAGGCUGAGGCGUGAUGACGAGGCACUACGGUGCUGAAGCGACAAAUGCCCUGCUUCCAGGAAAAGCCUCUAAGCAUCAGGUAACAUCAAAUCGUACCCCAAACCGACACAGGUGGUCAGGUAGAGAAUACCAAGGCGCUUGAGAGAACUCGGGUGAAGGAACUAGGCAAAAUGGUGCCGUAACUUCGGGAGAAGGCACGCUGAUAUGUAGGUGAAGCGACUUGCUCGUGGAGCUGAAAUCAGUCGAAGAUACCAGCUGGCUGCAACUGUUUAUUAAAAACACAGCACUGUGCAAACACGAAAGUGGACGUAUACGGUGUGACGCCUGCCCGGUGCCGGAAGGUUAAUUGAUGGGGUUAGCGGUAACGCGAAGCUCUUGAUCGAAGCCCCGGUAAACGGCGGCCGUAACUAUAACGGUCCUAAGGUAGCGAAAUUCCUUGUCGGGUA